UACGUAGGGUGCGAGCGUUAAUCGGAAUUACUGGGCGUAAAGCGUGCGCAGGCGGUGAUGUAAGACAGGUGUGAAAUCCCCGGGCUUAACCUGGGAACUGCAUUUGUGACUGCAUCGCUGGAGUGCGGCAGAGGGGGAUGGAAUUCCGCGUGUAGCAGUGAAAUGCGUAGAUAUGCGGAGGAACACCGAUGGCGAAGGCAAUCCCCUGGGCCUGCACUGACGCUCAUGCACGAAAGCGUGGGGAGCAAACAG
rnacentral:rRNA from 1 species